UACGGAGGGAGCGAACGUUGUUCGGAUUUACUGGGCGUAAAGGGUGUGUAGGCGGUCUUGCAAGUCAGGGGUGAAAUCUCUCGGCUCAACCGAGAAACUGCCUUUGAGACUGUAGGACUUGAGGGCGUGAGAGGAGACUGGAAUUCCUAGUGUAGCGGUGAAAUGCAUAGAUAUUAGGAGGAACACCAGUGGCGAAGGCGGAUCUCUGGGCCUUACCUGACGCUGAGGCGCGAAAGCUAGGGGAGCGAACAGG
rnacentral:rRNA from 1 species